CACGCCGCCUGGUAGUAAGUGCCAGCCUGUCCAGCAGCCAGCCUUCUUUCCCAGGCUGACCCUGGCCCCCCUCUGAAAGGCGGGGAAGUGAACAGGAGGCUUCAAGGGGAGGACCCGGCCUCCAAGCUCGACUCCGCACCCAGCAGUUGGCUGUCUCAGCUGUGUUAGCUCCGGCUGCCCUAACAGGGUAGCACAGACACAGGCUUCAACAGCAGUUUAUUUCCUCACGGUUCUGGAGGCCUGGAGUCCAAGGUCAAGGUGCUGGCAGGGUUAGGGCUUCGACAUAUGAACGGGAAUGGGGCAGGCACAACUCAGUUUAACCGCCAAGGAGUAACGGAGUCUGGAAAACCCCAGCACAGCCAGGACGGAGUGCGGGAAAGGCGUGGGUGAUGCCAGCCAGGCGGAAGAGGGUUGUGCUGCGCCCUGGCACCCCAGCAUGGCAUCACCAGGAGGCUGAUGGAGCCUGAGGUGGCCUGGGUGGGCUGAGACGCAGAGGCCGAAGGACAGUCUGCAGGGGUGGCCAGGGCUCCCAUAGCUGCCACCCACUGACCAAGUCCCUGGAGUCUUGUCCUGCCACCUGAUGGAAGGGCUUCACCUGAGCAAUGCAGCUCAGGAGUGUCCAUCUGAUGGAGGACACAAAGGUCGCAGGCACCUUAGCCCAUCCCAGAUGGCUCCCGAUGACCACUCCCAACGUUGUGAAUAUUGUUAACAGAAAAUAGAAGAAUAGAAGAGACAGCAGCCACUCUCUUCUCCCCACUGCCCCUCUCCUCCUGGCCCCAUUUCCCCGUGCUGCUCAGCAGCAGGCCUGGGAGGCUGGGCCCACGGUGGGCAGCCACAGGCCAGUCGAGACAGCAAACCUGCAGAGGGGACAGUCUGCGCCACCCCAAGGCGUGCCUGUCAUGUAAUUUAAAUUGUAGCUAUGUUUGAAUGA